rnacentral:rRNA from 1 species
GACGAACGCUGGCGGCGUGCUUAACACAUGCAAGUCGAACGGUAAGGUCCUUCGGGGUACACGAGUGGCGAACGGGUGAGUAACACGUGGGUGAUCUGCCCUGCACUUCGGGAUAAGCCUGGGAAACUGGGUCUAAUACCGGAUAGGACCACUGCCUGCAUGGGUGGUGGUGGAAAGCUUUUGCGGUGUGGGAUGGGCCCGCGGCCUAUCAGCUUGUUGGUGGGGUGAUGGCCUACCAAGGCGACGACGGGUAGCCGGUCUGAGAGGGUGACCGGCCACACUGGGACUGAGAUACGGCCCAGACUCCUACGGGAGGCAGCAGUGGGGAAUAUUGCACAAUGGGCGCAAGCCUGAUGCAGCGACGCCGCGUGAGGGAUGACGGCCUUCGGGUUGUAAACCUCUUUCAGCACCGACGAAGCGCAAGUGACGGUAGGUGCAGAAGAAGGACCGGUCAACUACGUGCCAGCCGCCGCGGUAA